UUCUGCAAGCAGGGAGGAUCCAGAGCGUUGCCCCCUCGGUAGAAGGCCCACGGGUCGUGAACUUCUUUUCCCGGAGAAGAAGCAAUGACGGUAUCUGGGGAAUAAGCAUCGGCUAACUCUGUGCCAGCAGCCGCGGUAAUACAGAGGAUGCAAGCGUUAUCCGGAAUGAUUGGGCGUAAAGCGUCUGUAGGUGGCUUUUUAAGUCCGCCGUCAAAUCCCAGGGCUCAACCCUGGACAGGCGGUGGAAACUACCGACUCACCUGGGAUCGGAUACAUCUUCAAUCCUUGAAUGUCGGUUUUGCCUUUGAGUCAGUCAAUCGAUUAGAGAAAAAGUACAAAGCC
rfam:Capsicum annuum cultivar Zunla-1 chromosome 12, whole genome shotgun sequence